rnacentral:snoRNA from 1 species
ACCCUCUCAGGGUCACUCCUGGAGAGUUUCCAGGACUCUGCCAGUCUCGACUACAGGAGGGAGAAUCAAGCAGAGACCUGUCCAUUCCAUUCCUAGCUUGGCCAGUGGCUAGCGAGUGGCAGGCCAUCCGCUACAAGU